CCUCGGGGAAGCGCCCCUCACCGGGGCCUCGCGGCAGGGCCGGUGCCCUGUUGCCGCCCUCGCGUGGCGCGGUCUCGCGUCCGUGACCCGGGCAGCAGAAGGGGGCCUCUUACCUAAUUGCACACACGCGGACACCAGUUUGCGGCAGUUGGUCUCCAUUCCCCGUUAUCUGCAAAACAGAAAAGAAGGAAGGCUGUGAGAAGAGGCGGCCGUCGAGUGCGCAGGGCUCAGAUGAGACUACCCGUAGGCUGUAAGGUGCCUACUUUGUGCUAGGCCGCAGGCGUGCUUUUCCGACCUGACAGCCUCUGGCUGUCCAGCAGCGUCUCCACCCUAGCCUCAGGCCCAGAACAUCUAGAUGUUUAUCAAGAGGGGAUCUCCCUCCAGAGUUGCAGCAAAAGGCCCCAGAGGCAAGCCGGGAGAGGUGAGUCUCGAGAGGCUCCACCGGGUGGGUAGAAGAACCGCGGUUGCUUUAAAGACAGAAGAAAAGAAGGUCCAGGGCUCCCUAGGCCCCUUCAUUCUCAGCGCCUGUCUCUCUCCACGCUAACCAGGAGGUUAAUAGGCGCUCGUAGCAGAACGGCCUCGCCUUUCAGCUGGUGGCGAGGAUAGGCAAUCUCACGGAAAAGUUGGAAGAGAAUGAGAAAACCAAAGACCGGAAGAUUCAGGGACGCGCGGAGAGACACCGAGAGAGGGAAGAGAGCUGCGCUGGAAAGACGCGCAGUUAGGCGCGUGCAACUCCCUCUCCUCUUUCAGGUUUCAGUGGUUUGCACUGAGAGGAAAGGGCUCGGGAAGCUCACUUUCCCUUCGCCCCCUUCUGUCUGGAGUCUCGCCCUCUGGGGGCUGGUUAACCCCAGUCCCGGCCGCUGCAGACACUGCGCUGAGCUUUUGGGUCCUCGCCUCGCCCAGCGCCAGUGCAGCUGAAGUGAGCAGCUGGUGGGAAAUGCAAAUGGCUCCUGGAGAAAUAGAAGAUACAGAAUGAUUCUCAUUCCCUCCUCGAGUGUGUGGAAGGAGCUGGACAUACGUUUCACGCUCCUAAUCCUUCUUUUACAUUUUUAGUCAUACUCCUAUUAAACAACUAAUUAAUGCCCAGAAUCACCAGGGAAUACAUUAGGCAUGCAAUCGUAGAAGCAGGGUGCUGGGGGGCUGCAAACCACCGAUCUGAUUUAAGACGUGGAUUUCGGGUUUUUCCCUUGUCAAAGCAGUAAUGGAAGAUUGGGCCGUGGCGACUGUAUUUAGAUUCCGAUUACUUCAAAUUAGAAGGGGGUGGAGGGAGCGUCCAAGCAAAGCACGCAAUUCUCUGCCCUGCAGAUGUAAACAAGAUUGUAGCAUCAAAGGUAAAAGCUCCUUUAGGGCUAGAUCGCCUGGACUGGGAACCUGGGGAGGGGAGACACUAACCUUACCUAUCUGUGAAUUUCAAGGAUGUUACACUUUUACAUAAAUAACUCCAGUGUGAUCCCCUGGUAAUCCCUGGGAGUAAUCCCACCAUUUUAGAAUAUUAAAAUUUUUCUCCCCAAGCGUGUAUCUUUUUUAUUUCCUCAAGAUUCUGAGCUAUGUCUAAAUAUAAUAGUCGUCCAAGUAAACUAGAGCAUUGGACCAUUGCCUUCACCCUUUCCUACGGACAUUUCGAUGAUCUGAUUUUAAUGUGUGGGGGGCACAGGGAAUUAAAUAUAGCCCAUAAAACUAAGCUUAGGAGAAAAAGUGCUGGCUAAGUGGGUUCAGAGAAUUUUUAGUGAGCAUCUCAGUUACACUCCUCCCCAUAGUAUGUUGAAGCAAGUGACAGAACUGUUAGAAUGGGAAUCAAAUUGGAAAGCUCCGGAGGACAACAAUUUUGUGAUCAAAUGGGGGCAAAACCGUGGACAAAUAUGGGGUGACCUCCACCAACUCUCUCUCACCCAAGAGUCAGGAUUUGGGAAAGGUACAGUAUUAUUUCAGAGCCCGCUGUGACGGGCUGUGUGCUACCAUUUACCUUCUUCACUUUGGAUUAUGAUCUCAACCCUGGCAAGCAAUUUCCCCAGCUUC